rnacentral:lncRNA from 10 species
AACCCCCUUGGAUCCCCUUCCACACUGUGGGAGGUUUGUUCUUUUGCUCUUUGCAAUAAAGCUUGCUGCUGCUCACUCUUUGGGUCCAGACUGUCUUUAUGAGCUAUAACACUCACCGGGAAGGUCUGCAGCUUCACUCCUGAAGCCAAGGAGACCACGAACCCACCGGGAGGAAGGAACAACUACAGACACGCCGGCUUAAGAGCUGUAGCACUCACUGCGAAGGUCCGCAGCUUCACUCUUGAGCCAGAGACCACGAACCCACCAGAAGGAAGAAACUCCAAACACAUCCGAACAUCAGAAGGAAAAAACUCCAGACACGCCGCCUUUAAGAACUGCAACACUGCGAGGGUCCGCGGCUUCAUUCUUGAAGUCAGUGAGACCAAGAACCCACCAAUUCCAGACACACUACCAAAGGCAGAGGGGAGCUCCUAGACAAAGAUAUUUUGCUUACAAAUGGAACAUAUCAAAUCAAGCUUUUGUGAACUUGAGGGAAGAAACAAAGAAUAUGAAGCCUAAAUGGAAGUGUCAGGAAAUGGUCGCCUUGCGGACAAGGAAACAGCAGCCUGGAAGGCCAGGAGAGGGCAGACUACCCACCUAACCCUCUGCAGAAUUUUGUGUGGACCCUGGAGACCAGAAACUAACUUCUCCUGCAGGUAUAUGUUCCCCCAUGCCGGCCAGAAAGCACAGAGAAGGAACACUUCUCCCUGGGUCCUUAGGAUCGGACAGCUGGCUUUAGUCCCAACCAGUCAUAUCAAUAAUAAAUAUUGCUAUUUUAAUACUAGCAA